CCUACGGGGGGCAGCAGUAAGGAAUAUUGGUCAAUGGACGCAAGUCUGAACCAGCCAUGCCGCGUGGAGGAUGAAGGUCCUCUGGAUUGUAAACUUCGUUUAUUUGGGAAGAAACUCCCGAUUUCCAUCGGGAUUGACGGUACCAGAUGAAUAAGCACCGGCUGACUCCGUGCCAGCAGCCGCGGUAAUACGGAGGGUGCAGGCGUUAUCGGGAUUCACUGGGGUGAAGGGGUGCGUAGAAGUCAAGGGAGAAAUCUCCGGGCUUAACCCGGGAACGGCCAUUGAUACUAUUUGUCUUGAAUACUCGGGAGGUGAGCGGAAUAUGUCAUGUAGCGGUGAAAUGCUUAGAUAUGACAUAGAACACCCAUUGCGAAGGCAGCUCACUACGGAAAUAUUGACGCUGAGGCACGAAAGCGUGGGGAGCAAACAGGAUUAGAUACCCUGGUAGUC
rnacentral:rRNA from 1 species